rnacentral:rRNA from 1 species
UACGUAGGGUGCGAGCGUUAAUCGGAAUUACUGGGCGUAAAGCGUGCGCAGGCGGUUUUGUAAGCCAGAUGUGAAAGCCCGGGGCUCAACUCCGGAACUGCCUUUAAGAUUGCAUCGCUUGAAUCCAGGAGAGGUGAGUGGAAUUCCGAGUGUAGAGGUGAAAUUCGUAGAUAUUCGGAAGAACACCAGUGGCGAAGGCGGCGUCCUGGACCAACACUGACACUGAUGAGCGAAAGCCAGGGGAGCAAACGGG